rnacentral:lncRNA from 1 species
CCUAGUCUUCCCCCCAAGUUCCCAAAGUCCAUUGUAUCUUUCUUAGGCCUUUGCAUCCUUAUAGCUUAACUGCCACAAAUCAGUGGGAAGAUACAAUGUUUGGUUUUCCAUUCCUGUUACUUCAUGUAUGCACUUAUUAAAAUGUAUCUUUACUGAAGGAAGAAUAAUAUGAAUAAUACUGUGUUAUGUGUUACAACUCUGAAUUGGUCAUCAAAACCCCAAUUCACAUUGGUAUAUGAUCUCAAAUAAAAUAUGGUACGCAAAUGCUCACACAUGUAGUGUGUUCUUAAGAAGCUAAGGGUUUUCAGUUGAAAGAGCAAGCCUCUUACGUGUUAGAAUUAGAGGUUCAGGCACUAAAAAGUAACCUUAUAGAUCUCAUCUGGCCAUUGUUCUUUCUCACAUUUCCUCCUGAUAUCAUGCCUGUUGCCUAA